CAGCCGCCACGGGAAUACGGAGGGAGCUAGCGUUGUUCGGAAUUACUGGGCGUAAAGCGCGCGUAGGCGGUUACUCAAGUCAGAGGUGAAAGCCCGGGGCUCAACCCCGGAACUGCCUUUGAAACUAGGUGACUAGAAUCUUGGAGAGGUCAGUGGAAUUCCGAGUGUAGAGGUGAAAUUCGUAGAUAUUCGGAAGAACACCAGUGGCGAAGGCGACUGACUGGACAAGUAUUGACGCUGAGGUGCGAAAGCGUGGGGAGCAAACAGGAUUAGAUACCCCAGUAGUCCCUGUCUCUUAUAA
rnacentral:rRNA from 1 species